AAGGCUGGCUGUAAAUAUGCACGGUCGUGCCUGUUUUUAAUGCAUAUUAUCUGGAGUAUAAAGCAAUGGCUUUGACUGCUGAAAAGAAAGCGGAAAUCAUCAAGGAUUUUGGUCGCACUGAA
rfam:Endozoicomonas numazuensis strain DSM 25634 scaffold00004, whole genome shotgun sequence.